AGAGUUUGAUCCUGGCUCAGAACGAACGUUAGCGGCGCGCCUAACACAUGCAAGUCGCACGAGAAAGGGCUUCGGCCCCGGUACAGUGGCGCACGGGUGAGUAACACGUGGGUAAUGUUCCCUCGGGCGGGGGAUAACCCUCCGAAAGGAAGGCUAAUACCGCAUAAGACCACGGCUUCGAAAGGAGCCGAGGUAAAAGC
rnacentral:rRNA from 1 species